AGUGAACGCUGGCGGUAGGCCUAACACAUGCAAGUCGAACGGCAGCACAGUAAGAGCUUGCUCUUACGAGUGGCGAGUGGCGGACGGGUGAGGAAUACAUCGGAAUCUACUUUUUCGUGGGGGAUAACGUAGGGAAACUUACGCUAAUACCGCAUACGACCUACGGGUGAAAGCAGGGGAUCUUCGGACCUUGCGCGAUUGAAUGAGCCGAUGUCGGAUUAGCUAGUUGGCGGGGUAAAGGCCCACCAAGGCGACGAUCCGUAGCUGGUCUGAGAGGAUGAUAAGCCACACUGGAACUGAGACACGGUCCAGACUCCUACGGGAGGCAGCAGUGGGGAAUAUUGGACAAUGGGCGCAAGCCUGAUCCAGCCAUACCGCGUGGGUGAAGAAGGCCUUCGGGUUGUAAAGCCCUUUUGUUGGGAAAGAAAAGCAGCAGGUUAAUACCCCGCUGUUCUGACGGUAACCAAAGAAUAAGCACCGGCUAACUUCGUG
rnacentral:rRNA from 1 species